GGGGAUUGUUGCUCUGUUUCCAUAUCUGGAAGACCCAUAUUCACAACAUGGAUAUGAACAUUACUAUGAUCCAGAGAGCGGUUCAGGAUACCUUGCGUGGCGGUUGAAGACCAUUCAAAGAAAAGCUGCAGAGGAAAGAAGUGUCUCAGUUUCCAAAUCUCCUAAAAUUGGCGGGCCAGGCCGUGGUCGAUCCAGACCACUCACCACUGAGACAGUGUUAUCAGAUGAGGAUGUAAAAGCAGCUAUUGC